rnacentral:rRNA from 1 species
GACGAACGCUGGCGGCGUGCCUAGUACAUGCAAGUAGAACGCUGAAGGAGGAGCUUGCUCUUCUGGACGAGUUGCGAACGGGUGAGUAACGCGUAGGUAACCUGCCUGGUAGCGGGGGAUAACUAUUGGAAACGAUAGCUAAUACCGCAUAACAGUAGAUGUUGCAUGACAUUUGCUUAAAAGGUGCAAUUGCACCACUACCAGAUGGACCUGCGUUGUAUUAGCUAGUUGGUGGGGUAACGGCUCACCAAGGCGACGAUACAUAGCCGACCUGAGAGGGUGAUCGGCCACACUGGGACUGAGACACGGCCCAGACUCCUACGGGAGGCAGCAGUAGGGAAUCUUCGGCAAUGGACGGAAGUCUGACCGAGCAACGCCGCGUGAGUGAAGAAGGUUUUCGGAUCGUAAAGCUCUGUUGUAAGAGAAGAACGAGUGUGAGAGUGGAAAGUUCACACUGUGACGGUAUCUUACCAGAAAGGGACGGCUAACUACGUG